rnacentral:rRNA from 1 species
CCUACGGGAGGCAGCAGUGGGGAAUAUUGGGCAAUGGGCGCAAGCCUGACCCAGCAACGCCGCGUGAAGGAAGAAGGCUUUCGGGUUGUAAACUUCUUUUCUCAGGGACGAAGAAAGUGACGGUACCUGAGGAAUAAGCCACGGCUAACUACGUGCCAGCAGCCGCGGUAAUACGUAGGUGGCAAGCGUUAUCCGGAUUUCUUGGGUUUAAAGGGCGUCUAGGCGGGAGCGCAAGUCAGAUGUGAAAAAUCAGGGCUCAACCCUGAUCCUGCAUUUGAACCUGUGUUUCUUGAGUGCUGGAGAGGCAUGCGGAAUGCGGGGUGUAGCGGUGAAAUGCGUAGAUAUAAGGAGGAACACCAGUGGCGAAGGCGGAUUGCUGGACAGUAACUGACGCUGAGGCGCGAAAGCGUGGGGAGCAAACAGGAUUAGAUACCCUGGUAGUC